AUGUCUCCCCUGGCGUCCAUGGCGGCGGACUUGGUUGAGCUAAUCGGCUGGCGGGUGCUGGCCGCCGGAGACCUGCUCGACUACAUCCGCUUCCGUGCAGUGUGCGCGCACUCCUGGUCCAGCACUAUCCACCCGCGCGGCCAUGGCAUCACCGACUCGCGCUUUCAUCCGCGUCGCUGGAUGAUGCUGCCGGACGGCCACAGGCUUCACCUUGAAGACGGCAGGAAACGUUUCCUCAACCUCGACACCGGAGUAUUUGUGCGUCCUCGACUUCCUCUUCUGGACGACCACUGCUUCCUCUGCUCGGUCGAAGGCCUCCUCCUCAUGCAGCGGCAACACGGCGACCAAGACGAAGACCCUAUAUGCCUCCUUCACCCCUUCACGGGAGACACCGCAAUGGAUCAACGGCCCGCUUGA
rnacentral:rRNA from 1 species